UACAGAGGGUGCUAGCGUUGUUCGGAAUUAUUGGGCGUAAAGCGCGUGUAGGCGGCCAAGUAAGUCGGGUGUGAAAGCCCUCGGCUUAACCGAGGAAGUGCGCCCGAAACUACUUGGCUUGAGUACCGGAGAGGGUGGCGGAAUUCCCGGUGUAGAGGUGAAAUUCGUAGAUAUCGGGAGGAACACCAGUGGCGAAGGCGGCUACCUGGCCCACCUCUUGACGCUGAGGCGCGAAAGCUAGGGGAGCAAACGGGG
rnacentral:rRNA from 1 species